rnacentral:snRNA from 1 species
GAGCUCACUUCAGCAGCCCAUGUACUAAAAUUGGACCCACAGGGAGGUUAGCGUGGCCCCUGCGCGAGGGUGGUGUGCCAACUCAUGAAGCGCUCCAUGAUGUU